rnacentral:rRNA from 1 species
AGAGUUUGAUCCUGGCUCAGGAUGAACGCUGACAGAAUGCUUAACACAUGCAAGUCUUUGGCGAAGCUGUGCUUGCACAGCCUAGCCAAGGCGGACGGGUGAGUAACGCGUAAGGAACUUGCCCUGCAGUCAGGGAUAACAGACGGAAACGACUGAUAAGACCUGGUAAAGUCAGGCGGACUCAUGUCCAGCCUGAUGAAAAGAGAUGCUGCAGGAGAGCCUUGCGUCCUAUUAGCUUGUUGGUGGGGUAACGGCCCACCAAGGCGAUGAUAGGUAGCCGGCCUGAGAGGGUGGACGGCCACAAGGGGACUGAGAUACGGCCCUUACUCCUACGGGAGGCAGCAGUGGGGAAUAUUGGACAAUGGGGGCAACCCUGAUCCAGCAAUUCUGUGUGCACGAUGAAGGUUUUCGGAUUGUAAAGUGCUUUCAGCAGGGAAGAAAAAAAUGACGGUACCUGCAGAAGAAGCGACGGCUAAAUACGUGCCAGCAGCCGCGGUAAUACGUAUGUCGCGAGCGUUAUCCGGAAUUAUUGGGCAUAAAGGGCAUCUAGGCGGCCAGAUAAGUCUGGGGUGAAAACUUGCGGCUCAACCGCAAGCCUGCCCUGGAAACUAUGUGGCUAGAGUACUGGAGAGGUGGACGGAACUGCACGAGUAGAGGUGAAAUUCGUAGAUAUGUGCAGGAAUGCCGAUGAUGAAGAUAGUUCACUGGACGGUAACUGACGCUGAAGUGCGAAAGCUAGGGGAGCAAACAGGAUUAGAUACCCUGGUAGUCCUAGCUGUAAACGAUGAUUACUGGGUGUGGGCAUGAAGAGUGUCCGUGCCGAAGCUAAUGCGAUAAGUAAUCCGCCUGGGGAGUACGGCCGCAAGGCUGAAACUCAAAGGAAUUGACGGGGACCCGCACAAGCGGUGGAGUAUGUGGUUUAAUUCGAAGCAACGCGAAGAACCUUACCAGGUCUUGACAUCCCGA